AUUGAACGCUGGCGGCAGGCUUAACACAUGCAAGUCGAGCGAGCGGCGGACGGGUGAGUAAUGUCUGGGAAACUGCCCGAUGGAGGGGGAUAACUACUGGAAACGGUAGCUAAUACCGCAUACCAUCAGAUGUGCCCAGAUGGGAUUAGCUAGUAGGUGGGGUAAAGCCUCACCUAGGCGACGAUCCCUAGCUGGUCGGAGAGGAUGACCAGCCACACUGGAACUGAGAAACGGUCCGAACUCCUCCGGGGGGCAGCAGGGGGGAAUAUUGGACAAUGGGCGAAAGCCUGAUGCAGCCAUGCCGCGUGUGUGAAGAAGGCCUUCGGGUUGUAAAGCACGUUCAGCGAGGAGGCGUUACUCGCAGAGGAAGCACCGGCUAACUCCGUGCCAGCAGCCGCGGUAAUAC
rnacentral:rRNA from 1 species